UCUAACUCUUUUACACUCAUUGACGUGUAUUGCCAGUGAAAUAGGACAGACAGUAAGCUUGACCUUGACCAGUGUCCCUAAGUAAAAAACCCGCGAAAUCGCCAGUGUUCUUACAAGCGUUGCAACAGGUGGAUGUUUUGGCGUUUUAACUGUAUUUUUAAUAGUACAAGGAAGUUGUGUAUUUAUUUGGAGCCUUCUGCAUAUUAAAAUGUAAGUACUCAUACAUAUUUCAUCCAUAGUAUAUGUGUAGAUUAUGUUUAUCCAACAGAAACACUAAUCAAAAUAGCAGCCUAACCUAUGCCGUAUCAUUCAUUCAAAAUUGUUUUGUCUGUUCCAAAUCUUUUUGUCUAUUAAAUGCGUUGCGUAAACUUCUGUAUCGGUUGACAAUGUUAUUAAGAUUUAUAACAGCUUGCUACAUAGAUGAAUCUUUAGUGAAAUCCUCAUUUAUCUAAAGAAAACUAGCAACAGGUAUAUUUGCGGCCCGAUUGUGGCCGCCGCACAGAUACUGGGCGGCCCGGAUCGGGCCGCAGAACAGACAGCAACUAGAGUUAGUAAAAUGGCCGACCAUGCAGUUUGCAUAGUAUGGAUACGCUGAGAGCAGCAUAUUCAAUACAUUAUUAAUUAUAUUUUUUUGAUCCGAUUUAUUUAACACUUAAUAACAAAUGUUUCUAAGUCGCUUUUUUAUAAUUUUACAUAAUUGUUUAAAAACAGCGGUUCUUAAAUUGAAUAACUAUAUUAAAAAUCUUAAUAGACAUAUUAUGAUUUUUAACGGACACUCAUUGUUUUUUCAUUGGUUUGGUUGUCACCCGCAUGGAAAUUUUUUGGCACUUUUAUGCUUAUGUGCACUAAACUAACUGCAUGCUAUAUUUUUGUGUGUGUUUUUUUAAUUUAAGGCCACGAGUCUCAAAAACUCGCGGCAGCAGAGGUGGUGGUCGUGGCCGUGGUCGCCAUACUAAUAAUGAUCGGGGCCCUCAAGAAGGUUUGGGCACUCGAGAAGAAGUAGAGACUCGGGGGAUUGUGCACGCUAGGGGCAGUACACGUACUAGGGGUGGUGUGCGGAGUAGGGGUGGUGUGCGCACUAGAGGCGGUGUACAGAGAAGGGGCGGUGUACGUACUAGGGGUGGCGCAAAUACAUCGCACCCGAUUUGUCUAGAAAGGUAAAUAUAAUAUUACUUAACACAAAUAGAGGUAAAUAACUAUUGCGUAGGUACUAUUACAGUCAAAAUUUAAAUCAGUAUUUAUUAAUUUAUGUUUCUCUAUUUUUAGCAUUUAUUGUGGCCCUCUUAAAGACUGGCCAAGUGGCUUGGCCAUCGAAGUUCCUUUACGGAAAAAGUAAGUAACUAUCUACAUUAUAUUUAAUUUAGAUGUUUUUUUUUCGUAUUUUAAAUAUUCUUUGUAUUUCAGAUUUUUUAGGAGGACGACACCGAGUCCCGAACCCGCACGUUCAAGAACUCCCAUACUAGUACAGCAUGAUGAAAUGUAAGCUUGUUUUAAAUCUACAAUAAAUGACUAGCAACAGGUAGAUCCUAUAAUCCAUAUAUUGUAUUCUUUAUCCCAUAGACUAUCUGCAGCUGAAACAUUAGCAGCGCUGAGUUCAGCCCCGCCAUCGCCUGGUUUAGACCAAGGAGCCAUAUCCCAUAUAUUAUCGGCAGCUGAAACAUUAGCAGCUCUGAGUUCAAAUCCGCCGUCGCCUCUUUUAGACAAAGAAGCCAGCUGGCCCUCGUUGCCCCGUGAUUUUGAAUUGUUUGAUACUGCAGUUGCAUCACGAGUCGUUUCACCUGCACUUUCAUUAGUUUCAAACGCACCUUCUCCAAUAGUAAAUAUUGAAGUCGACACGGUUCAGACAUCUGCCCUUAGAACAGUGCGCCUUCCCAAACGCAGAGAGGAAUCUCCUUCCUAUCAGUAAGUAUCACUUCAUAAUUAAAGAAUAAUAUACCCG